UGGGGAAUCUUGCACAAUGGGGGAAACCCUGAUGCAGCGACGCCGCGUGAGUGAUGAAGCCCUUCGGGGUGUAAAGCUCUUUCGGCAGGGACGAUAAUGACGGUACCUGCGGAAGAAGCUGCGGCUAACUACGUGCCAGCAGCCGCGGUAAUACGUAGGCAGCAAGCGUUGUUCGGAAUUACUGGGCGUAAAGGGUGUGUAGGCGGUGUCGUAAGUUUGGUGUGAAAUCUCCCGGCUUAACUGGGAGGGUGCGCCGAAGACUGCGAUGCUCGAGGUUGGGAGAGGUAAGCGGAAUUCCUGGUGUAGCGGUGAAAUGCGUAGAUAUCAGGAGGAACACCUGCGGUGUAGACGGCUUACUGGACCACACCUGACGCUGAAACACGAAAGCGUGGGUAGCAAA
rnacentral:rRNA from 1 species